CGUAGGGGACAAGCGUUAUCCGGACUUACUGGGCGUAAAGCGCCCGUAGGCGGCUUAACAAGUUGGAUGUGAAAGCCCCCGGCUUAACUGGGAGAGGUCAUUCAAAACUGUUAGGCUAGAGGAUGGAAGAGGAGAGCGGAAUUCCCGGUGUAGUGGUGGAAUGCGUAGAGAUCGGGAGGAACACCAGUGGCGAAAGCGGCUCUCUGGUUCACACCUGACGCUGAGGGGCGAAAGCGUGGGGAGCGAACGGGAUUAGAUACCCCGGUAGUCCACGCUGUAAACGAUGGAUACUAGGUGUAGAGGGUCAUUAACCCCCUCUGUGCCGCAGCUAACGCGUUAAGUAUCCCGCCUGGGGAGUACGGCCGCAAGGUUA
rnacentral:rRNA from 1 species